UACGUAGGGGGCAAGCGUUGUCCGGAAUUAUUGGGCGUAAAGCGCGCGUAGGCGGUUUCUUAAGUCUGAUGUGAAAUCUUGCGGCUCAACCGCAAGCGGCCAUUGGAAACUGAGGAACUUGAGUGCAGAAGAGGAGAGCGGAAUUCCACGUGUAGCGGUGAAAUGCGUAGAUAUGUGGAGGAACACCAGUGGCGAAGGCGGCUCUCUGGUCUGUAACUGACGCUGAGGUGCGAAAGCGUGGGGAGCGAACAGG
rnacentral:misc_RNA from 1 species